rnacentral:rRNA from 1 species
UACAGAGGGGGCAAGCGUUGUUCGGAAUUACUGGGCGUAAAGGGCGCGUAGGCGGCCGCCUAAGUCAGACGUGAAAUCCCUCGGCUCAACCGGGGGAACUGCGUCUGAUACUGGGUGGCUUGAAUUCGGGAGAGGGAUGCGGAAUUCCAGGUGUAGCGGUGAAAUGCGUAGAUAUCAAGAGGAACACCUGAGGUGAAGACGGGUUGCUGGGCUGACACUGACGCUGAGGCGCGAAAGCCAGGGGAGCAAACGGG